rnacentral:rRNA from 1 species
CCUACGGGAUGCAGCAGUGGGGAAUAUUGCGCAAUGGGCGAAAGCCUGACGCAGCGACGCCGUGUGAGGGAUGAAGGUCUUCGGAUCGUAAACCUCUGUCAGCAGGGAAGAACGGUCACUGUGCUAAUCAGCAGUGAAUUGCCGGUACCUGCAAAGGAAGCACCGGCUAACUCCGUGCCAGCAGCCGCGGUAAUGCGGAGGGUGCGAGCGUUACUCGGAAUUACUGGGCGUAAAGCGCUCGUAAGCGGUAUGGCAAGUCAAGGGGGAAAUCCCCGCGGUCAACGUUGGAACUGCCUUUGAAACUGGCAAACUGGAGUGUGUGAGAGGAUAGUGGAAUUCCAGGUGUAGGAGUGAAAUCCGUAGAUAUCUGGAGGAACAUCAGUGGCGAAGGCGACUAUCUGGCACAUAACUGACGCUGAGGAGCGAAAGCGUGGGUAGCAAACAGGAUUAGAUACCCCUGUAGUC